GGGGAUGACCGGUUUUGACAGCGUGUAGAGGUGGUGUGUAAGCGUGCAGAGCAAUGAUGGCUACGCUCUUUAAACAGAGACAUCAGCAAUUUCAAAUGGCGAAAACAACUACGCUCUCGCUGCCUAAUUGAAGUACAGUAGAUUAGCUUUAUCUCCGCAACAGUUGCAGAGACGGGACAUCGCCCGAUUGCCCAUUUUCCGAGGCGUAUCGACAAGGCGGUGCAGGAAUAUCGGAAAUAGGAUGCUAUUUUCCUCGCACGGCAUCUGAAACCUUUAGAGGAUAAGGCACCGGUUGGGGGUUCCAUGCCGGCCGGCGCAUGAAAAUCAACUUGGAAAUACGCACGUAGAAAGCGCAUUAGUUCCGCGUUUGGACGAGGGUUCGAAUCCCUCCAUCUCCACCC
rnacentral:tmRNA from 1 species